rnacentral:rRNA from 1 species
UGCUGGAGGUAUCAGAAGUGCGAAUGCUGACAUAAGUAACGAUAAAGCGGGUGAAAAGCCCGCUCGCCGGAAGACCAAGGGUUCCUGUCCAACGUUAAUCGGGGCAGGGUGAGUCGACCCCUAAGGCGAGGCCGAAAGGCGUAGUCGAUGGGAAACAGGUUAAUAUUCCUGUACUUGGUGUUACUGCGAAGGGGGGACGGAGAAGGCUAUGUUGGCCGGGCGACGGUUGUCCCGGUUUAAGCGUGUAGGCUGGUUUUCCAGGCAAAUCCGGAAAAUCAAGGCUGAGGCGUGAUGACGAGGCACUACGGUGCUGAAGCAACAAAUGCCCUGCUUCCAGGAAAAGCCUCUAAGCAUCAGGUAACAUCAAAUCGUACCCCAAACCGACACAGGUGGUCAGGUAGAGAAUACCAAGGCGCUUGAGAGAACUCGGGUGAAGGAACUAGGCAAAAUGGUGCCGUAACUUCGGGAGAAGGCACGCUGAUAUGUAGGUGAAGCGACUUGCUCGUGGAGCUGAAAUCAGUCGAAGAUACCAGCUGGCUGCAACUGUUUAUUAAAAACACAGCACUGUGCAAACACGAAAGUGGACGUAUACGGUGUGACGCCUGCCCGGUGCCGGAAGGUUAAUUGAUGGGGUUAGCGGUAACGCGAAGCUCUUGAUCGAAGCCCCGGUAAACGGCGGCCGUAACUAUAACGGUCCUAAGGUAGCGAAAUUCCUUGUCGGGUAAGUUCCGACCUGCACGAAUGGCGUAAUGAUGGCCAGGCUGUCUCCACCCGAGACUCAGUGAAAUUGAACUCGCUGUGAAGAUGCAGUGUACCCGCGGCAAGACGGAAAGACCCCGUGAACCUUUACUAUAGCUUGACACUGAACAUUGAGCCUUGAUGUGUAGGAUAGGUGGGAGGCUUUGAAGUGUGGACGCCAGUCUGCAUGGAGCCGACCUUGAAAUACCACCCUUUAAUGUUUGAUGUUCUAACGUUGGCCCGUUAUCCGGGUUGCGGACAGUGUCUGGUGGGUAGUUUGACUGGGGCGGUCUCCUCCUAAAGAGUAACGGAGGAGCACGAAGGUUGGCUAAUCCUGGUCGGACAUCAGGAGGUUAGUGCAAUGGCAUAAGCCAGCUUGACUGCGAGCGUGACGGCGCGAGCAGGUGCGAAAGCAGGUCAUAGUGAUCCGGUGGUUCUGAAUGGAAGGGCCAUCGCUCAACGGAUAAAAGGUACUCCGGGGAUAACAGGCUGAUACCGCCCAAGAGUUCAUAUCGACGGCGGUGUUUGGCACCUCGAUGUCGGCUCAUCACAUCCUGGGGCUGAAGUAGGUCCCAAGGGUAUGGCUGUUCGCCAUUUAAAGUGGUACGCGAGCUGGGUUUAGAACGUCGUGAGACAGUUCGGUCCCUAUCUGCCGUGGGCGCUGGAGAACUGAGGGGGGCUGCUCCUAGUACGAGAGGACCGGAGUGGACGCAUCACUGGUGUUCGGGUUGUCAUGCCAAUGGCACUGCCCGGUAGCUAAAUGCGGAAGAGAUAAGUGCUGAAAGCAUCUAAGCACGAAACUUGCCCCG